UGAGAUGCGGGAGCUCCGGCGCACACACUCC
rnacentral:piRNA from 1 species